UACGUAGGGUGCGAGCGUUGUCCGGAAUUAUUGGGCGUAAAGGGCUCGUGGCGGUUUGUCGCGUCGGGGAGUGAAAACCCAGGGCUUAACCCUGGGCUGGCUUCCGAUACGGGCAGACUAGAGGUAUGCAGGGGGAGAACGGAAUUCCUGGUGUAGCGGUGAAAUGCGCAGAUAUCAGGAGGAACACCGGUGGCGAAGGCGGUUCUCUGGGCAUUACCUGACGCUGAGGAGCGAAAGUGUGGGGAGCGAACAGG
rnacentral:rRNA from 1 species